CCAGCUCACCCUCCGCAUCUUUCAUUCGUGCCUGAAGCAGCAGCCAUUGCCCAUUGCUAACGAGAGUGGAGUGGUAGAGCAGUUCGAGUUUGCCUUUCUCUCUUGCUUGAUUGGUUGAUCGGUGACUCGAUCCAUCGUCGGAGGUACAUAUAGUUAGCGAGGAAUUCUCCGGCCGGCCACCGGCGACGACGACCGCAAGUGAUCCGUGAGGAUGGUGAACACGACGGCGGCUAUGGUGAGCGGCGGCAAGGGCGGCGUGCUGCCGCUGGCGUCCCUGAACCACAUCAGCAUAGUGUGCAAGUCGGUGGAGGAGUCGCUCGACUUCUACAUGAACGUCCUCGGGUUCACCCCCAUCCGCCGGCCCGGCUCCUUCGACUUCGACGGCGCAUGGCUGUUCAACUACGGGAUCGGCAUCCACCUGCUGCAGUCGGAGCGUCCCGACAGCUUACCAGCGAAGAAGGAGAUCAACCCCAAGGAUAACCACAUCUCCUUCCAGUGCGAGAGCAUGGUGGCGGUGGAGCGGCGGCUCAAGGAGCUGGGCAUUCCAUACAUCCAGCGGUGCGUGGAGGAGGGCGGCAUCUACGUGGACCAGAUCUUCUUCCACGACCCCGACGGCUUCAUGAUCGAGAUCUGCAACUGCGACAACCUCCCGGUCGUCCCGCUCGCCGACCAGACCUUCGCCAUGGCCGCCUGCAAGAGGGUCGCCUCCGUCAAGCAGUAGCAGGUGCCCAUGCCGGUCGCACAAGUAGCGCAAGCAACCCCUGCUCCCACGGCGGCCGCGGCUUCGCAGUGCAUUCCCGCGCCGAACCCGGCCUUGCAGCGCGUCGGCGGCGAGGAGGCGGCGCAUAUCUCGUGCGCGUGAGAGGUGGGAGGCCGGGGUAGCCAGGCCGCCCAACUGGUGGCGCGCUCCGUGGAGUCGUGGUUUUUGUAUAUUGUGAUAUAACAGUGUGCGUAUGAAUAAAGUGAGGGGAGCAGAGUGUGGUUUCAGCUUCAAA